rnacentral:lncRNA from 1 species
UGGGGGAUGAAAUUAUUUUUACAAUUGAGGAAUGUAAUAACCCAGCCCAUAGAGGCCCAAUCCCAUGGAAAAAGGGCACAACAAAAUCUCUACAUAGAUAUUGAAGCACCACAAAAAAAAAUUGGCCAGCACAUGCCUUGCACAUGCUGGGUGGGAGGAAUUGGACUGCCUCUUCCUCGCGAUCUCCCAAUAGAAAUCAAAGCAGGGG